rnacentral:rRNA from 1 species
GAUGAACGCUGGCGGCGUGCUUAACACAUGCAAGUCGAACGGGAAUUAUUUUAUUGAAACUUCGGUCGAUUUAAUUUAAUUCUAGUGGCGGACGGGUGAGUAACGCGUGGGUAACCUGCCUUAUACAGGGGGAUAACAGUCAGAAAUGGCUGCUAAUACCGCAUAAGCGCACAGAGCUGCAUGGCUCAGUGUGAAAAACUCCGGUGGUAUAAGAUGGACCCGCGUUGGCUUAGCUGGUUGGUGGGGUAACGGCCCACCAAGGCGACGAUCCAUAGCCGGCCUGAGAGGGUGAACGGCCACAUUGGGACUGAGACACGGCCCAGACUCCUACGGGAGGCAGCAGUGGGGAAUAUUGCACAAUGGGGGAAACCCUGAUGCAGCGACGCCGCGUGAAGGAAGAAGUAUCUCGGUAUGUAAACUUCUAUCAGCAGGGAAGAUAGUGACGGUACCUGACUAAGAAGCCCCGGCUAACUACGUG